AUGAUCAUUUGCAACAUCAGUGCCAUCAAAGAUUGGAGCACCUUCCUCUCCCAGAUCCUCCCCAGCGUUAACAAGACUCUGAACUUGGUACAGCAAGUGGAAGCCACCACCAGCUCGGUGGUAAGUGUCCUCCAGGACCCUGAGCAGGACAACUAUCUGUCCAACAGCCAGUCCAUGAACUCCAGCAACUUCACGGCUGGCCUGGACCAUUUAUUCCAGUAUUCGUACUCGGACAAUGACCAGCUUUACAAGGAAUACAAACCCCCUCCUCGAGAUGCCAUUCCUCUGCCCAAGGCUGUCCUCUACCUUCUCAUGGCAGCGCUGGUGGUGGUGGCAGUGGCGUACGCGAUCGUUGGGCACCUCAUCAAGGACCUCAUUCAUGAUUUUAUAGACUGGAUCUUCGGUCCCAGCCCAGACGACAACAGCAACAAGAGCGACGUGAACUGCAUCAGCAACAGCGUCAACGAGAUGAGCGAGAUGCCCGAGGCACCGCGGCGCCGGGACCGCCAGCCCCAGGACGUGGUCAUCACCAUCGGCGAGACCUGCCACCUGCCGCAGCAGACGUGACGGCGGCCGCGGUGUGGGCGACAGCCGGCACCGACGGGUGAUCCCUGGGGUAGGGCCGAGCGGAAGCGCCUCUUUUUUAAUCCCUUGCCGYGAGCGACUUUGCUGUUCCUGGGGAUCAUCUCACCAGCGUCCCUGGGAGCAGCGAACCAGCCCCACUGAGACCAUCCGCGCUGGACAAAUCAGUGCCGCUCACUUCCCUCUCCCACAAAACCAAACUGGGGGAGGGCUGGUCUCCUCCCACGGCUGCGGCAGGGCACCCGGGCAGGAGGGACGUACCGAAGGGUGGCGGGACCCGCCGGUGCUUGCGGCUGCCUUGCAGGGCAGGGGCGGCUGGAGGAAGGCGUGAGCUGCCGCAUCCUGGGGACUGGCAGCACGCACCAGCACCGCAGAGCAAACCCCUGCUUGUCCCGGCUUUGCCAACCUGCGAAGACCUUGCCGGGGUGGGUGGCACGAGCCCUUCCUCCGGGCUCCUCGGUCCUGCCCUGACCUCUGCCCCACUGGUUUACAACCUUCCUUUCUUCCCCGUGAGUAGCAAAAAAAAGCAAAUGAAGAAUACACCAACCAAACAAAGAUCGCGAGAGAAAUGAGCCGGAGAGGAGGCGGCUGGUCCUUUUGUGCGUGGUUGUCCUGUGUCGUGGGGAUGUGGUGGGGAAAAGAGGGCAGGAGCAGGGGGUACUGGGAAGACGAUGAGACUAUGCAAGAAACAUGGGUGUCCAYGCAAACUCCCCUUCUCAGCUGCCCCGACUGUGCACGCAGAGUCACUGUGCUGUUCAUGUCCCCUGCCCAC
rnacentral:lncRNA from 1 species